rnacentral:rRNA from 1 species
CCUACGGGUGGCAGCAGUGGGGAAUAUUGGGCAAUGGGCGCAAGUCUGACCCAGCAACGCCGCGUGAAGGAAGAAUGCUUUCGGGUUGUAAACUUCUUUUAAGGGGGAAGAGCAGAAGACGAUACCCCUUGAAUAAGCCACGGCUAACUACGUGCCAGCAGCCGCGGUAAUACGGAGGAUGCGAGCGUUAUCCGGAUUUAUUGGGUUUAAAGGGUGCGCAGGCGGAGGCACAAGUCAGCGGUAAAAUGGCGGGGCUCAACCCCGCUGCGCCGUUGAAACUGUGUCCCUUGAGUGCGCGAAGGGUAGGCGGAAUGCGUGGUGUAGCGGUGAAAUGCAUAGAUAUCACGCAGAACUCCGAUAGCGAAGGCAGCCUACCGGCGCGCAACUGACGCUGAUGCACGAAAGCGUGGGUAUCGAACAGGAUUAGAUACCCCUGUAGUC